rnacentral:rRNA from 1 species
CUCUUCUUGUAAGUUUUUGAAGUAGGGCCUGCCCACUGAUUUUAUUGAAGGGCCGCGGUAUUUUGACCGUGCAAAGGUAGCAUAAUCAUUAGUUCUUUAAUUGUGAACUGGUAUGAAUGGUUUGACGAGACACUUUCUGUCUUUUUGUAAUUUUUUAUUGUUGAAUUUGGUGUUUGGGUAAAAAUACCUAAAUUCUGUUAUGGGACGAGAAGACCCUAUAGAGUUUUAUGUGGUGAAUUUUCUUUCAGUUUGUUUGGUUUUGUUAAGUUUUAUUGCAUUUUGUUGGGGUGAUGGGAGAGUAAGUUUAACCUCUCCUUACUUUGAUUCACUUAUUUGUGUUUUUGUGAUCCUUUAUUAUUGAUUGUAAGAUUAAAUUACC